ensembl:lncRNA
GAAAAUAAAACACAAUGCACCGCAAUAACGGGAUAGAAACCUUGUGGCUUCAAAAUAGGUGGGAAGAACACAACAAGAUGCACCUGAAAGCGCACAAGACAACCCUGCAAUUUAUGCCACGGCUGGUGUGGAGGAAGGACAGACGAGCAAUGCAUUCUGGGCCAGUGACGUCCAUCACGACCAAGGUGACAGGCUGUCACACCGACUGUCAGUGCAAUGGAUGAGCCUGCGCGUGUCAGGAAGAUUGCUGAUGUCCUGGCCAAGCUUAGUCCAGCAGUCCUCCUGACACUGAAAGCCAGCAGCUCAGUGAGUUCAAGUGGAUGACACUCACAUCAUCAGAUGGACAAAAUAGUUAUGAAGUGUGUGAGGCCUGGCAGAAGGAAUAUGAAAUGGAGAGCCUUGAAGCAGUUCACUCAGAACCGUUUUCUACUUUAAACAAGGCUGGAGAUAAGCUGUGGCGUUCCAAUGGGAUUUUCUCUUCUCCUUUGCCCAAACGGACACAGAGAUGAGAGCACAGAUAGCAGACGGGAGAGGUGAAAGGUGGACCAGAGAUACUGAACCCUGGGGUUUGUGAUGACUAUCUCUGGCAGGACUGCCGGAUAUAAUCCUGAGUGGUCUAGUCUGUGGCGCAGUUAAGAACUGCUUUGUGUAUGACUGACAAAUGGUUUCAGACCUGGGUGAGCGUUGCAGUGAUUACAUCAACUGGAGGAUGAGGAGGAGGAGAGCAGGAGCAGGCAGAAGCGAGUCUGAGAGGAGGACAGCAGGGCUGCAGGGGAGGUUAUGCAAGGCUGCUGUUUACUGGCUCUGAGGAAUGCUGAGUGACAGAGUGGACAAAAUACCUAAUUUUUUUCACGACGGCCAUGCUGGAGCUCCCAAUGACAAGACUAUCAAUGGUGGAGACAUGUGCCUGUUUGACAUGGGUGGAGAGUACUACUGCAACUCUUCCGACAGCUGCUCUGCUCCUGCUCUUCUACAGCAGGACUUUCUCAGAGGCUGUGCUCAAAUCCUGCCAAGCUGCCAUGGCUGCCACAAAACCAGAAUAACCCCCCUCGCCCUUUCCUGGAUUGAGGAAAACAUUGCGGUGACCGCAGAUGGGAUCGAGUUGCUCACCUCCAUCCCACACACCAUCAAGGAGAUCAAGGAGUUCAUGGAGGAGGCCCAGGGUGACCCCAAGUCAUUCAGCCCCGUCAGCCAGAAGCUCUGAGAGGACAGGCUGGAGCUGCGGUUUCAUCCCAAAUCCACGUUUUAGAGCUUGUCUGAAAUGGGAAGUUAGCUUUGAUUUCCAGAUCUAUACAACGGUCUGAUAUGCAUGCUAACUUUUAAAUAUAAUUUGUUGGGCAUCAGUGACUGGUCUGGUUGUCUGAGAUUGUAUAUCCUCAGACAGCUUAACAUUUAAAGAUCACAUUAUAUUUUGAUCACUUUAGCAUCAAAUGCUCUUAAAACAAUGCAGGCUACCUGCAAUGGCAUGCAUCAUUGUUAGCAGAUUAUCUACAGAGAUUGCUGAAUCGGGUCUUUGAGCAGGUCCAAAGAAUAGAAUAUUGUGAUUCACUUGCUUUUUAGAAAUAUAAGAUACAUGUUUGCAUGGAAGUA